AGCGCAGGCGGGAAGACAAGUUGGAAGUGAAAUCUAUGGGCCCAACCCAUAAACUGCUUUCAAAACUGUUUUUCUUGAGUAGUGCAGAGGUAGGCGGAAUUCCCGAUGUAGCGGUGGAAUGCGUAGAUAUCGGGAGGAACACCAGUGGCGAAGGCGGCCUACUGGGCACCAACUGACGCUGAGGCUCGAAAGUGUGGGUAGCAAACG
rnacentral:rRNA from 1 species